ensembl:lncRNA
ACUGGACAUAAUUGCCCUGUGACACCCCAACCCACACACACUUAUAGUGGCGCACAAAUUGCCUCCUCUUUUCAUUUUGGCACCUUCACACACUAAUACUCGCGCAUUUAGCAUUUAUAGUGACGCUGCUCUCCCACGAUGUGCUUAAACUUAAAGACCGACAGCUAGACUGGUCCACAGAAUUUCAAUGAUUUCUUUCAGUAUUUAAUGCAAAAUUCAUCCUGAUUGUUUUUUUUUUUUUUAUUAUUAUCCCACCUUUUGUGAUGUUUUUGAAUUUACUUGUUUAACGAUGCAUCAUCACUGUUAUCCAAGCAGAGCCGGGAGCGAGGGAAGGCGUGUUUGACUUUGGUUUUGAAAGCAGCCUCGACAAGUUUAACUGACUAAUCUUUGCUCCGAUUUGCUCUCAUUGUCCUGAUACCUGAUGCUGACUUGUAGCAGUUUGACCAUGCAGACUGUGGAAGCUUCUCCUCAAAGAUGAAAACCUGUGCAGCCGGCUCCCAUAAAAAAAGCUGCUUGCUUUGUCCCCUGAAGUUCUGAAGGGCUUCGUUUCUAAUGGCUUGUUGUAGUCGUCACUUAUAUCAUUUUUAUUAAUGCAUUCUAGUUGAUCUUGUUUCACUGAAGGAGUUGUGAUUAAACUUACUUUUCCUCCCAUCUAUUAAAAUGCAGUGAAAUUCUGAUUGGAUAUCAGUGUUUAAAUUAAUUUAAUAGUGGUGUGCAAAAAUAACAACAAAUUUUAAAUGAUUUCUUUGCAAAAUGGGGAUAAACACAGAAAAACGUGUAUCAUUAAAUGUAAAAUUAUUAGACGAUAGGCCUGGAUCAGUCUGUACAGCUGGUGUAAAGCAGCAUUACAUCUCUCCUAGUUCAAGCCGGCCUAUUUCUGCUAGCUUCUAGCUGCAUAUCCAUUUAAUCUAUUAGAGUAGCUUAGCAUGAUUCACAGAUCAAAAUAACAAGCCUUGGUGGAGCCCCUAAUUUUAUUCACUGUCUGACACAAGCUGUUUUUAAUCCAGCUUUUGUGUGAUUGGCUGCCCAUCAUGAGCAACUGGGUAGGGCUUCUGGUCUGAGAGUGCUGUAUUAGGUUUCUCUACCCUAUGACAUCACACAGACCCAAGAGUGGAGACGCCGGUUUGCAACGGAGCGUUCAGAGCCGUGUGAAGCUUGCACUGAUCUCAGUAUUUGGAAGUUUGUCGGUGUUCAGUAUGAAAAUUCAAGAUUUAUACCAGUAUAAACGAGACAGAGGUCCACUUUAACAAAAUCUUUCAGCUAUGCUACGUUUCCAUUUACACGUAGAUGGAAGUGGCCAAAGAUGAAGCGAGUCUUCCACAGUCUGCAAGGAUCCUUCAUAGCAUACAGCGUGGAAUCAGAAGGGUUAAAUUUCCUAACAUCCUGCAAUUAGCAAACGUGUCUCGAUUAGCACAAACAUUAAAAAAAACGUGGCCACGCUUUCCCCCUGGCUCUGUUUUCAGACUCGUGCAGUGAUGAUGACAGACCCCUGAAAAUGAGCACGGUCGCUCCACAGCAGAUCACAUACGAAAACCCACAAAAUGCUGUUCAGAUAUUUUUUUUUUAUUUUUUAAACAUGUGGCGUGUCUUAUGUGAACAGUUUAAGCUUUUUUCUUCGCACCCCCACCCCAUCUUCUUCUUUUGAGUGAACAAAGAGUUAAAUCAGUGGCCCGUGGAGACAAAUGAGAAUUUUUUUUAUUUCUUUUUGGUUGUUUAUUUUUCUUUUUUGUGUACUUACUUGGCUACAGCAAUGUGUUGCUUUUGGGGUUUUCAUGCUAAAUGGUAGAGCUGUUUUUUUUUUUUUUUUUCCCCCACAUAAUUUAUUUGAAAAUUGUUAACGUCAGACUUGAUCCCCUGUUUAAUUCUUCGUUAUAACUGAAUUGAUUCACACAGAAUCUGUGUUUAUUUUGGCAACAAUUCAACCUCAAAACUGUCCUCAAUGUUUUCAUGUUUAGGGUGGAGAAUUAAGAAAGAAAUAAGACCUACAUCAUACAUGUAUAUCUAUAUAUAAUCCUGACAGAGAAGACUUAGGGUACGGCAUCAUUAUGCAAACUUCAGUUUUUCCUCUAAUCCUUUGAUUUAUUUUAUAUUCUAGUUUACAGAGGGAAGAAUUCAUCUUAUUCCUGGUUUUCUCUCAUCGGAGAGGCUUCUCUGAAUACAAAGCGACAUAAGGAUAGUGUUUUUGUUUUUUUGUUUUUUGUUUUUUUUAAGAGUACAUAGGCAUUUUUUGCAGUUAUUUGUAUAAAGAAAUGGGUUACAACCUGCCUAAUGUUUAUUUUUUGUAACUAUAUCACAGUUCUUUUGGAGGUUUUUUGCUGCUGUGUAGUACAGUUAUAACAAAAUGCUGUCAGUGGCGAACUAAGAGGACGAAGACGCGGGUCAGGAAAAAAUCCCACUCUUACCCCCGCUACCUGUAUUCUUCUUUUAUUUUUUCCAAGUUGAAUGCUGUUGUUCAUUAGCUUUACAGGAAAGAGUUCAAAAACAAUACUGUGGAGGCGUGUAUCCUUCGUACGUGCAUUAUUUUUCAGCGUCCUGUAUGCGGAAAAGACAGGGGGGGUGAAGAGAGCUUAAAUUUUAGAGAGAAAGGGAGAACUGGUGGGAAUCCUCCUUGUGUAAAUAAGGAAAACUUGUUGUUGCUUUUUUCAUGUUAUGAUUGGUGCCUCGGCAGGUGCCCCGCCCCCUCACCCAUUUUUUCUUUUUAACUUCCUUUUCUCCUUGUCUCUUUUAUUUACUUGCGGAGGGAAAAGGGGGGUUGAAGGGGGUUGAAGGGGGUUCUCGGAGGCGAUUUGAGCAUCGGCAUAGUGUUUAUAUUUAUCAAAACUUUUUUGCUUUCGAUAGAGCUAUUGCAAUAAAAAUGUGUUCAUGUAGCC